rnacentral:rRNA from 1 species
UACGUAGGGUGCGAGCGUUGUCCGGAAUUAUUGGGCGUAAAGAGCUCGUAGGCGGUGUGUCGCGUCGGCCGUGAAAACCUGCAGCUUAACUGUGGGCUUGCGGUCGAUACGGGCAUCACUGGAGUUCGGCAGGGGAGACUGGAAUUCCUGGUGUAGCGGUGAAAUGCGCAGAUAUCAGGAGGAACACCCGGUGGCGAAGGCAGCCUUCUGGGCCAACACUGACGCUCGAUGCACGAAAGCCGUGGGGAGCAAACAGG